AUUGAACGCUGGCGGCAGGCCUAACACAUGCAAGUCGAGCGGAUGAAGGGAGCUUGCUCCUGGAUUCAGCGGCGGACGGGUGAGUAAUGCCUAGGAAUCUGCCUGGUAGUGGGGGAAAACGUCCGGAAACGGGCGCUAAUACCGCAUACGUCCUGAGGGAGAAAGUGGGGGAUCUUCGGACCUCACGCUAUCAGAUGAGCCUAGGUCGGAUUAGCUAGUUGGUGGGGUAAAGGCCUACCAAGGCGACGAUCCGUAACUGGUCUGAGAGGAUGAUCAGUCACACUGGAACUGAGACACGGUCCAGACUCCUACGGGAGGCAGCAGUGGGGAAUAUUGGACAAAGGGCGAAAGCCUGAUCCAGCCAUGCCGCGUGUGUGAAGAAGGUCUUCGGAUUGUAAAGCACUUUAAGUUGGGAGGAAGGGCAGUAAGUUAAUACCUUGCUGUUUUGACGUUACCAACAGAAUAAGCACCGGCUAACUUCGUG
rnacentral:rRNA from 1 species